rnacentral:rRNA from 1 species
GACGAACGCUGGCGGCGUGCUUAACACAUGCAAGUCGAACGGAAAGGCCCUGCUUUUGUGGUGUGCUCGAGUGGCGAACGGGUGAGAAACACGUGAGUAACCUGCCCUUGACUUUGGUAUAACUUCGGGAAACUGUGGCUAAUACCGGAUAGGAUCUCCUGCUGCAUUGUGGGGUUUGGAAAGUUUCUGCGGUUGGGGAUGGACUCGCGGCUUAUCAGCUUGUUGGUGGGGUAGUGGCUUACCAAGGCUUUGACGGGUAGCCGGCCUGAGAGGGUGACCGGCCACAUUGGGACUGAGAUACGGCCCAGACUCCUACGGGAGGCAGCAGUGGGGAAUAUUGCACAAUGGGCGGAAGCCUGAUGCAGCAACGCCGCGUGAGGGAUGACGGCCUUCGGGUUGUAAACCGCUUUCGCCUGUGACGAAGCGAGAGUGACGGUAAUGGGUAAAGAAGCACCGGCUAACUACGUG